UGUGCGUGCGACAAGGACAGCGACUGAUAAUAUCCUGAGUGAGAGUGAGAUGUGACGAGCUUAUCCGAUCGAUAGCCGCAGCCGCAGAGUGCUGCUCGUGUGACGUCACGCGCCCGUCAUCUUUGACUCUGUUCAAGAAAUUGUCACUACAUUUUCCGUGUAAAAGAACGGUCCAUUAUCGGUAGUUCAGUUGGUAACAAUGUAUGGAAUGGCCUUCGGAAUUAUGUAGGAGCUUAGAACAGAACCAUACAGAAUCGACAAAAUGUGUUAUGUAAACAGCAGCGCUAAAUAUGGAGCCGUUGUAUCAACAAGGGAGAGAAUAAAGUCGAACCAUUUUUUAAUUGCUAUACUUUAAAGAUUUAAGCUUUCGUCUUUUGUACACAUAGGACUUGAUGCGAGGGUGGUCGAAGAAACUGCGCGGGCUGUCAAAAUAAAACGCCGCGGACUUUAGUCCUGCUGUGAUCACGAUGU